AUUGAACGCUGGCGGCAGGCUUAACACAUGCAAGUCGAACGAGUGGCGGACGGGUGAGUAAUGCUUGGGCAUCUAGCUUAUGGAGGGGGAUAACUACGGGAAACUGUAGCUAAUACCGCGUACCAUAGGAUGAGCCCAAGUGGGAUUAGGUAGUUGGUGAGGUAAAGGCUCACGAGGCCGACGCUCUCUAGCUGGUCUGAGAGUGUGACCGGCAACACGGGGACUGAGAACCGGCCAGGCUUCCAACGGGAGGCAGAAGUGGGGAAUAGUGCGAAAUGGGGGCAACCUGACGAAGCCAUGCCGCGGGAAGGAAGAAGGCCUUCGGGUUGUAAAGUUUUUUCGGUAGCGAGGCGUUAACGACAGAAGAAGCACCGGCUAACUCCGUGCCAGCAGCCGCGGUAAUAC
rnacentral:rRNA from 1 species